rnacentral:rRNA from 1 species
UACGUAGGGGGCAAGCGUUGUCCGGAAUCAUUGGGCGUAAAGCGCGUGUAGGCGGUUCGGUAAGUCUGCUGUGAAAGUCCAGGGCUCAACCCUGGGAUGCCGGUGGAUACUGUCGGGCUAGAGUGCGGAAGAGGCGAGUGGAAUUCCCGGUGUAGCGGUGAAAUGCGUAGAGAUCGGGAAGAACACCCGUGGCGAAAGCGCUCUACUGGACUGCAACUGACACUCAGGGACGAAAGCUAGGGGAGCGAAUGGG